CUUCCAGCAAUGGGGGAAGAGGUGUAUUUAUUAGAAACUAAAACCAAUCAGCUUCGGCUGUUUGAGAUGAUUCAUAAUAACUCGGCAAAUUACGGGAAAAUUCCUGUGAUGAUUCAAACGGAUUUCUGACCUAUCAACUUUAGAUGGCAAAGUAGGGGUUUGCCAUGGUGACAACGGGUGACGGGGAAUUAGGGUUCGAUUCCGGAGAGGGAGCCUGAGAAACGGCUACCACUUCCAAGGAAGGCAGCAGGCGCGCAAAUUACCCAAUGCUAAUUCGGCGAGGUAGUGACAAGAAAUACCAAUGUAGGACCCAACGGGUACUACGUUUGGAAUGAGAACAAUUUAAAAACCUUAACGAGGAACAAUUGGAGGGCAAGUCUGGUGCCAGCAGCCGCGGUAAUUCCAGCUCCAAUAGUGUAUAUUAAAGUUGCUGCGGUUAAAAAGCUCGUAGUUGGAUUACGAAGUGGUGUUCAAAUGUCAUUUUGGUUUGUUUGUCUUUCGGGGCAUUCAGGUCAACUUGGCUUUUACUCACUGUUGUCAUUGUCUUUGCCCAAGGUAUAUGCCUUGUGUGCAUGGCAUUGACCUUCUAUUUUAUGGUAAUGUUGUAUCUUUCGGGGUACAUUCAUUCCAUAUAGUUUACUUUGAAAAAAUUAGGGUGUUUAAAGCAGGCGAAAAGGCUUCGAAUAUAUUAGCAUGGGAUAAUGAAUACGAUCUAGGUCGUAAUUUGUUGGUUUCUACGGCUUAGGUAAUGAUUGACAGGGAUAGUUGGGGUCGCUCGUAUUGAGUUGUCAGAGGUGAAAUUCUAGGAUUAACUCAAGACGAACUAAUGCGAAAGCAUUCGGCAAGGAUGUUUUCAUUAAUCAAGAACGAAAGUUGGGGGAUCGAAGAUGAUCAGAUACCGUCGUAGUCUCAACUGUAAACUAUGUCGACCGAGGAUCCGGUAGCGUUACAUGGAUGACCUUCCGGGCACUCUGUGAGAAAUCAUAAGUAUUUGGAUUUCGGGGGGAGUAUGGUCGCAAGGCUGAAACUUAAAGGGAUUGACGGAAGGGCACCACCAGGAGUGGAAUCUGCGGCUUAAUUUGACUCAACACGGGAAAACUUACCAGGUCCGGACACAGUGAGGAUUGACAGAUUGAGAGCUCUUUCUUGAUUUUGUGGGUGGUGGUGCAUGGCCGUUUUUAGUUGGUGGAGUGAUUUGUCUGGUUAAUUCCGUUAACGAACGAGACCUUAACCUAUUAAAUAGCUGCGCGAACCCAGGUUCUUUAACCAUUCUCUCCUUCGGGGGGGCGUGGUAUCAUUAUUUUGCUUUUCACUUUCGGGUGGGAGGUAGGGUAGUGAUAGGGCCUGAGAUGAGUUGGUGAUUUGGCUUCUUAGAGGGACUACUUGCAUCCUUAGCAAGGGGAGGUUUGAGGCAAAAACAGGUCUGUGAUGCCCUUCGAUGUUCUGGGCUGCACGCGCGUUACACUGGCGCAUGCAAAGAGUUUAAAAUUCCUGUCCCGAUGGGGUUGGGAAAUCUUUUUAAAGUGCGUCGUGAUGGGGAUAGAGCAUUGAAAUUAUUGCUCUUGAACGAGGAAUUCCUAGUAAUUGCAGGUCAUCAACCUGCAAUGAUUACGUCCCUGCCCUUUGUACACACCGCCCGUCGCUCCUACCGAUGGUUGAACCGAUGAGGACUCGGGAUGAUCUUAUUAGAUCGGUCGGUCGAAAGAUCGAUAGACUAUUAGGUCAGAACUUGUUCAAAUCUUUUUAACUAGAGGAAGGAGAAGUCGUAACAAGGUUUCCGUAGGUGAACCUG
rnacentral:rRNA from 1 species